rnacentral:rRNA from 1 species
UACGGAGGAUCCGAGCGUUAUCCGGAUUUAUUGGGUUUAAAGGGUGCGUAGGUGGCCUGUUAAGUCAGGGGUGAAAGACGGUAGCUCAACUAUCGCAGUGCCCUUGAAACUCCCUUUCUUGAGUGUCGGAGAGGAAAGCGGAAUUCCUGGUGUAGAGGUGAAAUUCGUAGAUAUCAGGAGGAACACCGGUGGCGAAGGCGGCUUUCUGGACGACAACUGACGCUGAGACGCGAAAGCGUGGGGAGCAAACAGG